CAUAGACCCUCCAAGCGAGCUAUUUCCCUUUGAUUGUGUGUGUUGCUCAGUCCUUUGUCUUAUGUCUUCUCUGAAGCAUCUUUUCUGUAUCUCUCCCAGCAGGAACAAAUACACGUCAAAAGGCACUUCAUCCUGGAAGCUACUUGCACAGAAGCCUGAGCCCCAAGAAGUCCUUUUCGUUAGUGGUGGUCGUGCUGCUCAGGUGAGAAGAGAGAGGGGGACAGCCCAGGGCUCAGUUCUGGGGCUCGCCUGGUACCCACUGGAGCACAGCUGAGUACAACUAAACAGUGACACCACCCUGGGUUCUCCUGAAAUCCCAGCAGAAGUGGGUUUCUCUCUCCCAAGCUGUGGUCCGCAUGCAGACUUCUCAUGUGAAUUUUUGGUAAGGUAAGCUCGCUUUUUCCUUUUUUUAAUACCUAGAGUUUUCUAAAUGGGAAAUUAUACUCCAUUUUUCUAGACAAAUUUGUUGCUAUUCAUCAAGAC
rnacentral:lncRNA from 1 species